AAUUUUAUCAUAAAAUUCUUUAGAACAUACAUUAAUAACUCUAUUUUCUACUUCUAACCCACAUUGUAAUAGAUAAUUGAAUUCUCCCAUAGUAUCUGCAAAACCUACUUCUUCAUAUGCUCCUGAAAUAAAAUCAUUUUCAAUCAAUUCUCCAUUUUCUUUCAAAAUUUGUUCAAUAUUUUUAAUAUAACAUCUGUCCC
rnacentral:lncRNA from 1 species